UACGUAGGGUGCAAGCGUUGUCCGGAAUUAUUGGGCGUAAAGAGCUCGUAGGCGGCUUGUCACGUCGGGUGUGAAAGCCCGGGGCUUAACCCCGGGUCUGCAUUCGAUACGGGCUAGCUAGAGUGUGGUAGGGGAGAUCGGAAUUCCUGGUGUAGCGGUGAAAUACGUAGAUAUCUGGAGGAACACCGGUGGCGAAGGCGGCUACCUGGCCCAACAUUGACACUGAGACCCGAAAGCGUGGGGAUCAAACAGG
rnacentral:rRNA from 1 species